ensembl:lncRNA
UCUUGGAAUAGUGUGCUUUAAUCAGUAACACAUUGCUUCUUUUCCUUCCUGGACAAAAUUAAGAGCAGAGAUUCCCCAGCCAGCAUGGAGAAGGAGAACUGGACCAUGGUGAGGGAGAGCCUUCUGACAGGGAGGCAGCCACCAGAGCCCUUUGGGGCCUCCUUGUCUUGAUUUUGUAUUGUCCUAUGUGAUGACUGUCCUUGAAAGUGCCCUCAUCUUUACCAGGAUUCUUGUGGAUUAUAGGCUUCACUCACCCAUAUAUUUCUUCCUUAGCCAGCUGUCCUGUCUUUCAUUGAAAUGUUAACCACGACCUGUGCUAUUCCCAAGAUGCUGACAGGCUUCCUCUCAGAGAGGAAGAGCAUCUCAUUUGGUGAAUGCUUCGUGCAAGUCAUUUUUCUACUUCCUCUUUCGAUGCACUGAGUUUGUCCUUUUUUCUGUGAGGUUCUAUGACUGCUAUGUGGCCAUUUGCAGCCUCCUUUAGUACCGGGUGAUUAUGACCAGCUUGUUUAGUGUCUAUCUUGUCAUCCUCUCCUGGAUGGAUGACUUUUUCUUCAUCCUCCCAUCUACUGUCCUUAAGGCAGGACUGCCAUACUGUGGCCCCAGUGUGAUUGAUUAUUUUUUCUGUAACAGUACCCACUUGCUCCUCUAGGCCUGUGCUGAAAUCCCUGUCAUCGAGCUGUUGGACUUCCUCAGCUCCUUUGUCCUACUCAUCAGCUUCUUUACCUCACAGUGGUCUCCUUUGUUUACAUCAUCUCUACCAUUGUGAAGAUACCCUCAGGCCAAGGUCAACAUAAAGCCUUUGGCACCUGUGCCUCUCACUUCCCUGUGGUCUCCAUGGGCUAUGGGAUCUCCAUCCUUGUCUAUGUCUGGCCCUCACAGAAGUGCAGCCUGCAUCUUAACAAGAUCCUUUUAUCCUCUCCAGUGUCAUCACAUCACUCCUGAAUUCCUUCAUCUUCAGUCUACAGAAUGAAUCCAUGAAAGACGGAUUGAAAGUCAUCUUGGCUAAGGGCCAGAACUUCCUCAGGGGAAUGAGAUCCAAGUGAUAGUGUAUUUGAAUGAUCCCAAACCUGGGCAUUCCUAGCCUUACAGAGAGUUUUAUGCUCCGUUUGUUUGCUGUAGCUGCUUCAUUGUACUCCAGAGCUCUCCCAGAGAUAUUUUUGUUGCAUACUGGAACAGAAAGAGAGAGAGCAAGAGAGAAGUUGCAAACAAACACCCUGAAGAACUGAAAACACAGCAACUAUGGGUGGACGAGUUGAGCCUAGAGCUGCUGGAUGAACACGUUCAUACCAUCAUCCCAGGAUAUCCCCAUUCCCACCCCCUACCCUUGUCUAUGUCAUGUUCUGAGGAACCAUCCCAACCCUUUUUGCAUAAACAGGGCUCCAGCAGGGACCCAGUGCUCUGGCCAUCACCUGC